CUCGCCGCUUUCCCCAAUCAGAGUCCCCAAGCCUCCUCCACCGCCGCCACUACAGGACCUCGCCGGGCCCGAGCACCUCGUCGAUCACUCCCCUCCCACGAUAGGGAGGCCCCUGACGUGAGCCUCUGCAACAUCUACCGCCAGGGCUGCACCUCCGACGCCGCCCGCGUACUCCACGCCGCCGAGAGUCUCGGCUCCCCCGCCGACGGUGGCUCCUGCAGCACAGUCGUUGCAGGGUUCUAACUUCUAACAGCAUGGCCACCUCGACCGUCGAUUGCAGCCCAGGAAAUGUCAGCAGGGUAGCUCUUGCUGUAUCUGUAACCCUUGUUAAUUUACUGUCUGUUUUAAUUCAUUCAAAUUAAAUUUUCCAGGUAUGGCACUAAGCUUUCG
rnacentral:lncRNA from 1 species